rnacentral:rRNA from 1 species
GUCUACAGCCACACCACCCCGAAUGCAUCCAGCUUGUGUGAUCUCGGAAGCUAAGUAGGGUCGCCACCGGCUAGUACUUGGAUGGGAGAGUAAUAAGAGGGCAAUGCAGUCA